rnacentral:rRNA from 1 species
AGAGUUUGAUCCUGGCUCAGGAUGAACGCUAGCGGCAGGCCUAACACAUGCAAGUCGAGGGGUAUAUGUCUUCGGACAUUGAGACCGGCGCACGGGUGCGUAACGCGUAUGCAAUCUACCUUAUACUAAGGGAUAGCCCAGAGAAAUUUGGAUUAAUACCUUAUAGUUAAUAGAAUUGGCAUCGAUUUUAUUAUAAAGAUUUAUUGGUAUAAGAUGAGCAUGCGUCCCAUUAGUUAGUUGGUAAGGUAACGGCUUACCAAGACGAUGAUGGGUAGGGGUCCUGAGAGGGAGAUCCCCCACACUGGUACUGAGACACGGACCAGACUCCUACGGGAGGCAGCAGUGAGGAAUAUUGGUCAAUGGGCGGAAGCCUGAACCAGCCAUGCCGCGUGCAGGAUGACGGUCCUAUGGAUUGUAAACUGCUUUUGUACGGGAAGAAACGUAAUUACGAGUAAUUAUUUGACGGUACCGUAAGAAUAAGGAUCGGCUAACUCCGUGCCAGCAGCCGCGGUAAUACGGAGGAUCCAAGCGUUAUCCGGAAUCAUUGGGUUUAAAGGGUCCGUAGGCGGCUAUAUAAGUCAGCGGUGAAAGUUUUUGGCUUAACCAAAAAAUUGCCAUUGAUACUGUAGGGCUUGAAUUAUUGUGAAGUAACUAGAAUAUGUAGUGUAGCGGUGAAAUGCUUAGAUAUUACAUGGAAUACCAAUUGCGAAGGCAGGUUACUAACAAUGGAUUGACGCUGAUGGACGAAAGCGUGGGUAGCGAACAGGAUUAGAUACCCUGGUAGUCCACGCC